UGAGACGGAGUCUCACUCUGUCACCCAGGCUGGAGUGCAGUGGCACCAUCUCGGCUCACUGCAAGCUCCGCCUCCCAGGUUCACGCCAUUCUCCUGCCUCAGCCUCCUGAGUAGCUGGGACUACAGGCGCCCACCACCACACCCAACUAAUUUUUUGUACUUUUUAGUAGAGACGGGGUUUCACCGUGUUAGCCAGGAUGGUCUCGAUCUCCUUACCUCGUGAUUCGCCCUCCUCGGCCUCCCAAAGUGCUGGGAUUACAGGUGUGAACCAGCGUGCCCGGCCCUGUUCAAACUUUGUAUCAGUGAUGAGGAUGAAACUGAUGGCAUGUUUACUAAAUUUGUAUACAAUAUCAAGCUGGAAUUAUUGGCCUUUCCAUUUAUAAACUUUUGUCAAAAGCUUCUAAAGGAAGAAGCUAAGGGGAUAAAAGGCACUUCUUCCUACAAGAGCUCAGAGUCCAAAGAUAAUCAACAAGGACACAAUUAUGAUGCACCUGUGGCUUACGCUACCACAGAGGGAUGCAUGGGGACUAUGGGAGCCCAGAUAAAUAGGCCCCCAGCGCCACUGGACUUGCCAUGUGGGAGGCGACAGCUGAGAAGUCUGAGAAAACAUAGAGGUUAGCCAAGCAACACUAGAAGAAGGGCAACCCACCAGAGGAAAGAGACAUGCAGAGGCCCAGGUGCAGGUGGACAUUGGUCUGUUCAGGAAGCUGAUGUGGUUCUGGAUAGCAGAAGCGCCAAGAGUUGGAAGGGAGAUGCCUUGAAAGUUCCAGACAUUGACUUCCACUGCGUGCUACUGGCCAAGCGAGUCAGUAAGGCGAUCCCGGAUCAAGGGAGGGAAUUAGAACCCAACUCCCAUGUGUAGAAUGUCGAAGAUGUUGCAGGCAUCAUCCCAAUGGUGAGAGCUCUGGAAAACUAGUUGUUUUCUCUGGUCCUCAGUUUCCUCAUCUGUAAAAUAGGUAUAAUAAUUGUACUUAUUUCACAGGGUUGUUGAACAGAUUAUAUGAAUUAAUACAUGGGGGAAAAGAGCCUAAAACAGUUUCUAGGUAUACUAAGGGUACAAUAAAUAUUAGCUCUUAAAG
rnacentral:lncRNA from 10 species